rnacentral:lncRNA from 1 species
GACACUCUACACUUCCUACACCUAGAGGUGUGGGUCUAUAUGCUAGAUUGUGCUUGUCAGUAUGUUGCUCACUUGUGAUAACAUGUGCUUUACAAAAAUAAUAAUAGUUUGUUAUAGCAUAAUAAAGUGUGUGUCAUGCAUUAGUAGGUCAUUACCUAAUUGAGGUUUAGUUAUUACCUGACCUUCAUGCUAUUGGGCAUAGU